ACGAGAACUGCUUUCGUAUGAAGCGAUCUAAUAUUCAUAAAACCGAGUUUAAAUGUAAUCGGUCGAUUAGGGUUCGUAUCUAUCGAAGGAUUUUUAAACGAAAUGCGAGUAAGAUUGUGUUCUCUAGGCCUGACAUCACCUCUCAAAUGUUUAUUAGCGCGGUGUAGAAAGUGUGUUCACCUGUACUGUAGCACUAUUCAAACUGCCACGCUCUAGUCUACACGAGGAGCUAUGUUCAUGCUGGAAGUCUAGCCUAGCGCUAGUUAACUUUAACUUAACA